ACACAUGCAGGUCGAACGGACCCUUCGGGGUUAGUGGCGGACGGGUGAGUAACACGUGGGAACGUGCCUUUAGGUUCGGAAUAGCUCCUGGAAACGGGUGGUAAUGCCGAAUGUGCCCUUCGGGGGAAAGAUUUAUCGCCUUUAGAGCGGCCCGCGUCUGAUUAGCUAGUUGGUGAGGUAAUGGCUCACCAAGGCGACGAUCAGUAGCUGGUCUGAGAGGAUGACCAGCCACAUUGGGACUGAGACACGGCCCAAACUCCUACGGGAGGCAGCAGUGGGGAAUCUUGCGCAAUGGGCGAAAGCCUGACGCAGCCAUGCCGCGUGGAUGAUGAAGGUCUUAGGAUUGUAAAAUCCUUUCACCGGUGAAGAUAAUGACUGUAGCCGGAGAAGAAGCCCCGGCUAACUUCGUGCCAGCAGCCGCGGUAAUACGAAGGGGGCUAGCGUUGCUCGGAAUUACUGGGCGUAAAGGGAGCGUAGGCGGACAUUUAAGUCAGGGGUGAAAUCCCGGAGCUCAACUUCGGAACUGCCUUUGAUACUGGGUGUCUUGAGUGUGAGAGAGGUAUGUGGAACUCCGAGUGUAGAGGUGAAAUUCGUAGAUAUUCGGAAGAACACCAGUGGCGAAGGCGACAUACUGGCUCAUUACUGACGCUGAGGCUCGAAAGCGUGGGGAGCAAACAGGAUUAGAUACCCUGGUAGUCCACGCCGUAAACGAUGAUUGCUAGUUGUCGGGGAGCUUGCUCUUCGGUGACGCAGCUAACGCAUUAAGCAAUCCGCCUGGGGAGUACGGUCGCAAGAUUAAAACUCAAAGGAAUUGACGG
rnacentral:rRNA from 1 species